rnacentral:rRNA from 1 species
UGGGGAAUUUUGGACAAUGGGCGAAAGCCUGAUCCAGCAAUGCCGCGUGUGUGAAGAAGGCCUUCGGGUUGUAAAGCACUUUUGUCCGGAAAGAAAUCCUUGGCUCUAAUACAGUCGGGGGAUGACGGUACCGGAAGAAUAAGCACCGGCUAACUACGUGCCAGCAGCCGCGGUAGUACGUAGGGUGCAAGCGUUAAUCGGAAUUACUGGGCGUAAAGCGUGCGCAGGCGGUUUGCUAAGACCGAUGUGAAAUCCCCGGGCUCAACCUGGGAACUGCAUUGGUGACUGGCAGGCUAGAGUAUGGCAGAGGGGGGUAGAAUUCCACGUGUAGCAGUGAAAUGCGUAGAGAUGUGGAGGAAUACCGAUGGCGAAGGCAGCCCCCUGGGCCAAAUACUGACGCUCAUGCACGAAAGCGUGGGGAGCAAACAGGAUUAGAUACCCUGGUAGUCCACGCCCUAAACGAUGUCAACUAGUUGUUGGGGAUUCAUUUCCUUAGUAACGUAGCUAACGCGUGAAGUUGACCGCCUGGGGAGUACGGUCGCAAGAUUAAAACUCAAAUGAAUUGACGGGGUCAUAGCUGUUUCCU